UCACCAGCUCCACAAAGCCACCUCAGAAACCUGCGUUUUUAACAUGCACCCCAGAUGAUUCCAAUGUGGAGUUCCUCAGCCCAGACUUUGAGAACACCUGCUUCAAUCAUCUAUAUGGCCAGGGAUAGUAGCCUUGCUGUGUUCUUUGCAGUUUAACACAAGGCAAUAUCCUAUCCCAAAUGGUGGAAGUCAAGACACUGUGACUGACAGGAGGGUUCUAGCACCCAGGCUGCAGGAGGAGCUAUCAUCUUAUGACUUUGACAUCACCAUCUCAACAUGGCCUUCCACCAUCUCAACAUGGCCUUUCACCAUCACCAAAACUGUGCAAGAGAAAGCCAUGGAGUAAAGGACCUGCAAUUAGAUGCUUAGACCCACAUAUGACCCCUGUCACUUCUGCCCUCAGUUCCUUAACCAGAACUAGUCACAUGGUCACAUGUAACUUCAAAGGAGUGGAAAUGUGUAAGCCUCUGCACACCUGGCAGUGAAAAGACACUCAUAUUGAGGAGCACUGGUAAUGCCUUUCACAAUCCUGCAGUUGGUAAAGAGUCAACCUCAAGCUACUGGGUUCCCAAACCUAUGCUCUGUAUCACCGUGCCUGCUGUCUUCCCAUGCCCCCCAGAAGGAAGGGGUGGACCCUCUACCCUGUGACAUGGCUAGUGAUUGGCAUGGCUUGGGGAGGGUAGAAGAAGUGGGAAUCGGGGCUUCUUCCUGAUGUUUGGCAUCUCUCCCGCGACUCUAGCUAGCUAAUUCCCCAGGUCCCAGGUGCUUUCUAUCCCUGCUUCUGGAAUCAGUCCAAGUCCAGUGUCCUCUUCUAUUCUGUGAUCUCAGAGGGGUUAGAGUACAGAAGCUUCCAGUGAGCCCUACCUCAGCCCAGCCCUGCCACUAGCUUAUGUAAAUAUUUUUCUGUUGAGUUUUGAGUGCUGGGAGAUAAAAUAGUGGAGACAGAAAAGCCAAAGGGAAAUCGGAAGUCCCUGGUCUUCGUGAGCAGAACACUAUCAGGAGUCUGGCUUGAUGUCUGAAGUGCCUACAACAGCCCUACCAAGGUGAUAUCAGGAAACCAAGGAAGGGCUGGUGGAAAUGAGCCUGGGGUGACAUCACCCUGAACUGCAGCAGGAGAGAUCAAAGCUAGAUGCUGAGGUCCUCCCGAUGCUAAAGGUGGUCAUUAUCUCUGUAUGCUUCCACCACUGGACGGUGAGCUCACUGAGGGAGAAAUGUCAAAUUCAUAUCUAUAUCCUCGGCACCCAGCACAGGCUUGGCACAGAACAGGCACUCAAAAGAUACUUAGAGAAGGGGACACCAGAAACAGAUUUUAAGAACACAGUGGAAAUAGCCAGGCUGGCUUAGGCCCCUCCCAGGUUCCAGAACCUCUCAUUGAGUGUUCAUGUACUACAGUGGGCUGCUGGAGGAAAGAGAGAGCUGGGCUCAGGCCUGGGGAAGCUGGGCAGCCUGUGGUUUCCUCAACAUGGCCUCUCUCUCCCACUUUCAAAAACAGCACAAAGUCCCUGACCCUUGGUUACCUGGAAGGGGAUUAGGAAGGAACAAACCCUGUGUGGUGGCUCAAUUUCUUUGCCUCAAUCACACCAGUUUCCUUUCAAUUCUUUAAGCAUUCUAAUCUCUUCCCUACCCCGAGGCUCUAGCUUAAAAAUUUCCCUUUAUCUGGAAUAUUUUUCCCUCCACUCUUGCUUUGGCUAACUUCUGCUCAUGCUGUCCGUUUCUUCCUCUUUUCCUCAUAGAGGAUUUCCCCGACAUUCCCCUGCCCCACGAUCUGAAUCAGGCUCCCCUUACUAUGCACUCUCAAUGCCUCUAUUUUUUUUCCAGAGCAUUUAUCACACUUUGUAAUUAGGGAUCAUUUUGAGGAAUUCUUUGCUUGAUGUCUGUCUCUCCUAGUAGACUGUAAUUUAAUUUCAUGGGGUUAGAAAUUUCAUUUGUGUCUCCAGUAUCUAGCACAAUGCCUGACACAUAGUAGGCUCAAUAAAUAUUUACUUAAU
rnacentral:lncRNA from 10 species